GCGGGCGUGGCGGAAUCGGCAGACGCACCAGGUUUAGGUCCUGGCGGGGAAACCCGUGGGGGUUCAAGUCCCUUCGCCCGCACCA
rnacentral:tRNA from 1 species